GGCGCAGCCUUUCUUUUGGUAGCAGUCAUUUGGGAAAAACUUAAUUGUUUGCUGAAUGCCACAAAAACAAAGUUAUUUAUAAAAACCUGGGAAGAUGCUGAAAGAAAACUCAAAAUUGCUCAAGUACGAUCAGAUUUAGAUUCGACAGACCCAGACGAGCUUGGUAGGGGUAAAAGAGUUCAAAAUAAACGAUUGGUUGCUGAUUUAUCUUCUGAUGACUGAUUAUAUGGUUGCUGAUGAUAUUAUACCAGAAACGCCUAAGUUCAUUCAUAAAAGGAAAUCAAACAUUGAAAAUAAAAGACCCCUUAUUGAAAAGCUUUUUACUGCUGAAAUUAAUGGUGACAAGACAAAUGCAGAGAGUUCCCCCACUGUGUCCCGUUAUGCUGCAACACAAUCUGG